rnacentral:tRNA from 1 species
CGUCAGAUAGCUCAGUGGUCUAGAGCAGUCGUCCGGCGAGCGGAAAGACCCCCUCAGGUUCGAUUCCCGGUCUAGCGA